rnacentral:rRNA from 1 species
AUGGGGUACCAAGUGGUGGCGGCGCAGCUGGCGCGGCUGAGCGGCGCGCUGGGCACCUCGGACCACGCCUCCGUGGUCUCCAUCACCCUCUUCGUCGCGCUGCUCUGCGCCUGCAUCGUCCUCGGCCACCUGCUCGAGGAGAACCGCUGGCUCAACGAGUCCAUCACCGCCCUCAUCAUCGGGCUGUGCACCGGCGUGGUGAUCCUGAUGACCACCAAGGGGAAGAGCUCGCACGUGCUCGUCUUCAGCGAGGACCUCUUCUUCAUCUACCUCCUGCCUCCCAUCAUCUUCAACGCCGGUUUCCAGGUGAAGAAGAAGCAGUUCUUCCGGAAUUUCAUGACAAUCACACUAUUUGGUGCCGUUGGGACGAUGAUGUCGUUUUUCACAAUAUCUCUUGCUGCCAUUGCGAUAUUCAGCAGGAUGAACAUUGGGACACUGGAUGUAUCAGAUUUUCUUGCAAUUGGAGCUAUCUUUUCCGCCACAGAUUCUGUCUGCACUCUACAGGUUCUCAAUCAGGACGAGACGCCCUUUUUGUACAGUCUGGUGUUCGGGGAAGGUGUUGUGAACGAUGCCACAUCGGUCGUGCUUUUCAACGCGCUCCAGAACUUCGAUCCUAACCAGAUCGACGCGAUCGUCAUUCUGAAGUUCUUGGGGAACUUCUGCUACUUAUUCGUGUCAAGCACCUUCCUUGGAGUGUUUACUGGAUUGCUUAGUGCAUACGUCAUCAAGAAGUUAUACAUAGGAAGGCAUUCUACUGACCGUGAGGUUGCACUUGUGAUGCUCAUGGCCUACCUCUCAUAUAUGCUAGCUGAGCUGCUAGAUUUGAGUGGUAUCCUCACUGUAUUCUUCUGUGGUAUUGUGAUGUCACAUUACACUUGGCACAACGUGACAGAGAGCUCAAGAGUUACAACAAAGCAUGCAUUUGCAACCUUGUCCUUCAUCGCUGAGACUUUUCUCUUCCUUUAUGUUGGGAUGGAUGCACUGGAUAUUGAGAAGUGGAAAUUUGCUAGUGACAGCCCCGGCAAAUCCAUUGGAAUAAGCUCAAUUUUGCUCGGGUUGGUUCUGGUUGGAAGAGCUGCUUUCGUCUUCCCGCUCUCGUUCUUAUCCAACCUGACAAAGAAGACGGAGCUCGAAAAAAUAAGCUGGAGGCAGCAAAUCGUAAUAUGGUGGGCUGGGCUGAUGAGAGGAGCUGUGUCGAUCGCUCUUGCUUACAAUAAGUUUACAAGAUCUGGUCACACACAGCUGCACGGCAACGCGAUAAUGAUCACCAGCACCAUCACUGUCGUUCUGUUUAGCACUAUGUUGUUUGGCAUUUUGACAAAGCCUCUGAUCCGGUUCCUACUGCCCGCGUCGAGCAAUGGCGCCGCCUCAGAUCCCGCGUCACCGAAGUCCCUGCACUCUCCUCUCCUCACAAGCCAGCUAGGCUCGGACCUGGAGGCGCCUCUCCCCAUCGUGAGGCCCUCCAGCCUCCGGAUGCUCAUCACCAAGCCGACCCACACCAUCCACUACUACUGGCGCAAGUUUGACGACGCGCUGAUGCGCCCGAUGUUCGGAGGGCGCGGGUUCGUGCCCUACUCCCCAGGAUCACCCACCGAUCCGAACGUACUCGUGGAAUGA